rnacentral:lncRNA from 1 species
ACUUGUCGCCCAGCUGCGAACUGGAGCGGGAGGCGGCGGCCGGAGGGCCCAGGACAGCCCCGGGAGGGCGGCGAGGCGGAGCAGGAGCGCCCCGGCUCCGGCCACAUUCUCAGAGUCAGGAAAAGGGGCGAGAGGCCACAUGUCUCCCUCUCGCCCAACUGAAAACGAAACGGCGCUCCAGCAGAUUGGGUGGAAAGAGCUGGGUCUCUUUUCUCUGUUUUUCACGCUAGAAAGGGCUUGUAAACAUUGUUCCUUUUAAAAUGACCUACCCCAGGCAUUUGUUUGGGCACACUUCUGUCCUGGGGUCAUCGUUCCUAGGUGGCUUCGGACCUGGGACUUUUCCUGUAUCUGCACAUUGUCGUUUUAUACACAAUUGCCAAGGUGGGACUGCUUUCAACUUUACUGUGCUUGAAGCUGCAAAGGUAAUGUUGCCGCCCGGAUCCUGUUACAGUGCAAAGAAGAAAUGGCAAACGGAUAACAGCUACUGUGCCUAGAAGAUGGUUCUGCCCUGAUGUUUCCUGGAAUAAUGCUGAGGACUGCCUUUCGGGUAGCCGCC